AAGUGUCAAAAAUUCAGAGCUGGUAANCGUUUUCAGGGCACCAAAACGCACACACCAUUUACCAUCACUCUCACGUGGCAUUCACUACAUGUUCAACAGAAAAUGGCCCUACGAAAAAUAUUCUGAGAUCAUACACAGAGGAAGCAUUCAUCACGUUACAGGGAAAAGAACUUCACCAUCAUUCACACACCNGUAACCACCCCAAUAGGUUCACACACACUCCUUCUCAAGAUACCACACUAUACACACCACUAGAGACAACCACAAUCAUCAGGNCACCUUCAAUGCCAACCAUCAAGCAUCUCCCACACUACCGACUAGGCAUUCCUCCAUGGAUUCAUCAGACGCCAUAAUCAACCAAAAGUGAAGAAAGAGCUUGGAGGCAAGCAUAUCAACAGCGUAACAUAGACUCAGGGUACCAUUUUUCACCCUAUCAAAGAAACCACAAUUCGCCCUCNGUUAUUCACCCUUCACAGAUCCUACCAGCACCUUUCCAUCAUCUUCACCGCACCUCAUCACCCAACACACACAGGAUACCCCUUUGGGCUCACCAUUCUAGCUUAUACCAUGUUUCCCAUGACCAUUUUAACAACCCAUCAAAAAA
rnacentral:lncRNA from 1 species